rnacentral:rRNA from 1 species
AGCGCAGGCGGUGCGGCAAGUCUGAUGUGAAAGCCCGGGGCUCAACCCCGGUACUGCAUUGGAAACUGUCGUACUAGAGUGUCGGAGGGGUAAGUGGAAUUCCUAGUGUAGCGGUGAAAUGUGUAGAUAUUAGGAGGAACACCAGUGGCGAAGGCGGCUUACUGGACGAUAACUGACGCUGAGGCUCGAAAGCGUGGGGAGCAAACA